rnacentral:rRNA from 5 species
GUCAAAAACGACUCUCGACAACGGAUAUCUCGGCUCUUGCAUCGAUGAAGAACGUAGCGAAAUGCGAUACUUGGUGUGAAUUGCAGAAUCCCGUGAACCAUCGAGUCUUUGAACGCAAGUUGCGCCCGAAGCCAUUAGGUUGAGGGCACGCCUGCCUGGGUGUCACUAA